GGCGGAGUAGCUCAGUUUGGUAGAGCAUCGCAAUUGAAACGAGUGUCGCGGGUUCAAAUCCCGCCUUCGCCC
rnacentral:tRNA from 1 species